AUUGAACGCUGGCGGCAUGCUUUACACAUGCAAGUCGAACGGUAGCAGGGAGCUUGCUCCGCUGACGAGUGGCGAACGGGUGAGUAAUGCAUCGGAACGUACCCAGUCGUGGGGGAUAACGUAGCGAAAGUUACGCUAAUACCGCAUACGUCCUGAGGGAGAAAGCGGGGGACCGUAAGGCCUCGCGCGAUUGGAGCGGCCGAUGUCGGAUUAGCUAGUUGGUAGGGUAAAGGCCUACCAAGGCGACGAUCCGUAGCGGGUCUGAGAGGAUGAUCCGCCACACUGGGACUGAGACACGGCCCAGACUCCUACGGGAGGCAGCAGUGGGGAAUUUUGGACAAUGGGCGAAAGCCUGAUCCAGCCAUGCCGCGUGAGUGAAGAAGGCCUUCGGGUUGUAAAGCUCUUUCAGGUGGAAAGAAAACGCAUAGGUUAAUACCUUGUGCGGAUGACGGUACCAUCAGAAGAAGCACCGGCUAACUACGUG
rnacentral:rRNA from 1 species